UACGUAGGGGGCUAGCGUUGUCCGGAAUCAUUGGGCGUAAAGCGCGCGUAGGCAGCCCGGUAAGUCCGUUGUGAAAGUCAAAGGCUCAACCUUUGAAAGCCGAUGGAUACUGCCGGGCUAGAGUCCGGAAGAGGCGAGUGGAAUUCCUGGUGUAGCGGUGGAAUGCGCAGAUAUCAGGAGGAACACCGAUAGCGAAGGCGGCAUCCUGGACCGACAUUGACGCUGAGGCGCGAAAGCCAGGGGAGCAAACGGG
rnacentral:rRNA from 1 species